rnacentral:rRNA from 1 species
AGUGGCGAACGGCGGAGUAAGACAUAAGUAACGUGCCCCAAUGUCCGGGACAAACGCAGAAAUGCCAUAAAUACCGGAUGUGGCCGAGGAGAGGCAUCUCUCUUCGAUUAAACGGUUUUUCGCUUUGGGAGCGGCUUAUGACACAUCAGGUAGUUGGUGGGGUAACGGCCUACCAAGCCGACGACGUGUAGGGGGUCUGAGAGGAUGAUCCCCCCGAGUGGGACUGAGACACGGCCCACACACCUACGGGUGGCAGCAGUUGGGAAUCUUGCACAAUGGGGGCAACCCUGAUGCAGCGACGCCGCGUGGAGGAUGAAGGAUCUAGGUCUGUAAACCCCUUUUUCACGGAAAGACUUAGGACGGUACCGUGAGAAUAAGCUCCGGCUAACUACGUGCCAGCAGCCGCGGUAAGACGUAGGGAGCAAGCGUUGUCCGGAUUUACUGGGCGUAAAGGGCGCGUAGGCGGUCUGUUAAGUGAGUACUGAAAUCUCCGGGCUUAACCCGGAAACUGGUUCUCAUACUGGCAGACUGGAGGAAGGCAGAGGUAACUGGAAUUCCUGGUGUAGCGGUGAAAUGCGUUGAUAUCAGGAGGAACUCCAAUGGCGAAGGCAGGUUACUGGGCCUUAUCUGACGCUGAGGCGCGAAAGCGUGGGUAGCAAACAGGAUUAGAUACCCUGGUAGUCCACGCCCUAAACGAUGGAUGCUAGA